GUCACUUCCUGAGCGGCGCCGGCGGAGGCUGGGCUCGGCCCGCACCUGAGGAGCGCGGCGCGGACCCGCGCUGCCGUGUGAGGUGAGGAACAUACAUAAGAGAAUCACCCAAAGCCAAGCAGAGAGUCGGAGCGUCCUGCUCACAGGAUGAUGUUCCAGCCACCCGGCUGUGCCUGGUACUGUACUCUACUCACAGGGACACUGUGGCUCCACUGAAGGUCUCCAACAGCACAGAGCACAGACCAGUUUCAGAAGCCACACUCCAGUUUCAGGGGAAAUCCUGAAACCCACAAACUCUAAACAACAGCAAGCAGAAGUAUUUCAUACCCAGGGAACAAGCACAUCUCUGAACUAUGAGUAAUGUGUUCUAGGUCAGGGAGUAUCUGAAUCAAGCAGACCCAAUUCCCUAAACAAGUGAAAUGUUGCUGUGCAGAGAGGGGUGUAAUGAGGAGUGUAGUUCUAACUACACUUGGCAUGUGAUGGGAUUUGCACCAAACCUAAAACCCCUUCUUUCAUUUCAUAGAAUCACAGAAUGAAAGACUGGUUUGUGUUGGAAGGGAGCUUAAAGCUCAUCCAGUUCCAACCCCUGCCAUGGGCAGGGACACCUUCCACUAGAGCAGGUUGCUCCAAGCCCCUCUGUCCAACCUGGCCUUGAACACUGCCAGGGAUGGGGCAGCCACAGCUUCUCUGGGCACCCUGUGCCAGCGCCUCAGCACCCUCACAGGGAAGAACUUCUGCCUCAGAGCUCAUCUCAAUCUCCCCUCUGGGAGGUUAAAGCCAUUCCCCUUGUCCUGUCCCUACAGGCCCUUGUCCAAAGCCCCUCUCCAGGUUUCCUGGAGCCCCUUUAGGCACUGGAGCUGCUCUAAGGUCUCCCCUUCAGGAGCCUUCUCUUCUCCAGGCUGAACAAGGUUUUCACAGGUUAUUUGCUGCACAUACACAACAGCUUUGUCUUUCAGCUCUCCCCUUCACUUGCUGGCUGCCUCCCUCUGUGCCUUGGCAGAGGGCACAACCGCUGAGCUACGUCUGCCCUGGAAACAGUUGAAGGAUAAAAUAAGCAGACCUCUCACCUGAGUGAGCUCAUUGCUCUGUCAGCCAUGAAUCGGCUUAAGAAAAGCCAAGAGUGAGUUGUCCAUCAUUCACAAAACCCAAGGCAGCUGUGGACAUGCCCAAAAGCAGCACACUAUGGUUUUGGGCAUGCAGCAGCCAUGGGGUUGAGGUGCCCUAGGGUAGGGCAGCAGUCAGUGAGGGUAAGUCCUACUGCAAACUGGGGCAAAAGAGCCUAAAUCCUUUUCCUUGAAACUCCUUGUUUGGGGCUGGAUAUGGGCUGAUCACACCAUGUGUGCACGUCUCUGUGCCACUAAUAAGAGGUUUCAGUUCACAACCCUACCAGCAUUUCAAACUACUCAAUAAAUACACAUUCUUCCUACCUCUGUUUGAUGUGUGACACUGUCCAUGAAUACCUGGCUGCUGGAGUGACUGCUGAGGCUCAUUUCUGCUCCCUCACUAGCAUUUAUUAGCUCUGGCUCUCCAGCACAGGCUUAUGCACUUGAGAUUAUCCUGAAUUUAUAUGCUGCCUUGUGGCUACAUCAUUUGUUUGCCUGACAGCGCUCACUUUAAUUUCCAGUAACCUAAAAUGGGCUCAUUUCAAGCUCUGUUGUUACCUAACAAAUGGAAAUUAAGCCACAGGUUUGCUUUCUCCUUUUUGCAUCAAAUAAAACACACCAGUGUUCCUUUUCCUCCUUUGUCUUGAGGCUACGACACCUCAUCUUCACUGAAAGCCUUAGGUGGCCAUUAACUGUCCCUCAAUUUAGCUGCUACCCACAAGGGGCCGGUCAUGCUCAAUGCAGUUCCAGCCAAGGCAUAAGAUAGAGCUCUCCCCUUUUCUUAUCCCCCCCAAAAGCAGCAAGCAACAGGAACCCAAAGGCAGACCUCCUCAUGGCAAUGCAAAGCCCUGGCCCAUUUAUUUGCUAUGUGCUCUCCACAUAUUUCACAGGAGACGAUUGGAUAUGGAGCAAUGCUUAGAGGGGCUAUAAAAUAAAGCAGUUCUUGUUGUAACAAGUUGCGUUCUUUACCUUUUGGCAUGCCAAGAUUAGGAAAGCAACGUGAGUGCCAAAACACUGAAAAAUGUGCUGUAUGUUGCUAAAUACUGUACUUAAAGAUUCUGUCUGGGAUGAAAUAACAUACAUUUUGGCAGCCCUUUACCAGGCACGCUGGAACACAGUAAAACGGACAUAGCGGAGUGUAUAUAUAUACACAGAUUUGCCUUACAAUGGCUCCAGUGCUGCCAGUGCAUUCCUGGAACGUGGAAAUACAUGGGAGCCAGUGUCAGCAAUGAAGGAAAGCAUGCUGUGCCUAAUGUACCAGAAAAGCUACUCGAAAACUCACGCUCACAUUAAAAUAACCCUGAAGAA